rnacentral:rRNA from 1 species
UACGUAGGGGGCAAGCGUUGUCCGGAUUUAUUGGGCGUAAAGAGCGUGUAGGCGGCCAGGUAGGUCAGCUGUGAAACUCGAGGCUCAACCUCGAGACGCCGGUUGAAACCAUCUGGCUAGAGUCCGGAAGAGGAGAGUGGAAUUCCUGGUGUAGCGGUGAAAUGCGCAGAUAUCGGGAAGAACACCCGUGGCGAAGGCGGCUCUCUGGGACGGUACUGACGCUGAGACGCGAAAGCGUGGGGAGCGAACAGG